AUUGAACGCUGGCGGCAUGCCUUACACAUGCAAGUCGAACGGCAGCACGGGAGCUUGCUCCUGGUGGCGAGUGGCGAACGGGUGAGUAAUACAUCGGAACGUACCCUGAAGUGGGGGAUAACGUAGCGAAAGUUACGCUAAUACCGCAUAUUCUGUGAGCAGGAAAGAGGGGGAUCGCAAGACCUCUUGCUUUAGGAGCGGCCGAUGUCGGAUUAGCUAGUUGGUGAGGUAAAGGCUCACCAAGGCGACGAUCCGUAGCGGGUCUGAGAGGAUGAUCCGCCACACUGGGACUGAGACACGGCCCAGACUCCUACGGGAGGCAGCAGUGGGGAAUUUUGGACAAGUGGGCGCAAGCCUGAUCCAGCCAUGCCGCGUGAGUGAAGAAGGCC
rnacentral:rRNA from 1 species